GUGAGGGGAUGACUGGUGACAGAGUGAGGGAAUGACUGGUGACAGAGUGAGAGAGGGGGUGACUAGUGACAGAGUAAGGGAGGGAGUGGGUGACUAGUGAGAGUGAGGAAGGGGGUGACACAGUGAAAGAGUGAGGAAGGGGGUGACCCAGUGAGGAAGGGGGUGACACAGUGACAGAGUGAGGGAGGGGUGACUAGUGACAGAGUGAAGGAGGUGGUGACUGUCACUAGUCACCCCAUCCUUCCCUCUGUCACUAAUCACCACCUCCCUCACUCUGUCACUAGUCACCCCUUCCCUCCCUCACUCUGUCACUAGUCACCCCCUCCCUCUCUCUGUCACUAGUCACCCCACCCUCUCUCUGUCACUAGUCACACCCUCUCUCAC
rnacentral:sRNA from 1 species